ensembl:misc_RNA
UUAAGAGCAACAGAGACUGAAAUCCUCUAGUUAUCCACAGAACAACAGGCAAAGCAUGAGUAGUUGCAGUGAAAAUUUCUUCACAUUGAUUCAGCAUUCACACUUGUCCUUUAUCUGAAGAGACUGCUUUAAAAGAUGAGAAUGUAGUCCAUUACCUAGGCACACUCAGUCCAGGGUCUCC